AUACGGAGGGUGCAAGCGUUAUCCGGAUUUAUUGGGUUUAAAGGGUCCGUAGGCGGAUCUGUAAGUCAGUGGUGAAAUCUCAUAGCCUAACUAUGAAACUGCCAUUGAUACUGCAGGUCUUGAGUAAGGUAGAAGUAGCUGGAAUAAGUAGUGUAGCGGUGAAAUGCAUAGAUAUUACUUAGAACACCAAUUGCGAAGGCAGGUUACUAUGUCUUAACUGACGCUGAUGGACGAAAGCGUGGGGAGCGAACAGGAUUAGAAACCCCAGUAGUCC
rnacentral:rRNA from 1 species